rnacentral:rRNA from 1 species
CACGUAGGGGGCGAGCGUUGUCCGGAUUUAUUGGGCGUAAAGAGCUCGUAGGCGGCUCAGUAAGUCGGGUGUGAAAUUUCAGGGCUCAACCCUGAAACGCCACCCGAUACUGCUGUGGCUAGAGUCCGGUAGGGGAGCGUGGAAUUCCUGGUGUAGCGGUGAAAUGCGCAGAUAUCAGGAGGAACACCAGCGGCGAAGGCGGCGCUCUGGGCCGGAACUGACGCUGAGGAGCGAAAGCAUGGGUAGCGAA